GUAGGUGGCAAGCGUUAUCCGGAUUUACUGGGCGUAAAGCGUGUGCAGGCGGCUUGACAAGUGGUGUAUGAAAUCGCUCGGCUCAACCGGGCGCGGUUAUGCCAGACUGUCAGGCUGGAGUCUGAAAGAGGGUGGUGGAAUUCCGGGUGUAGUGGUGAAAUGCGUAGAGAUCCGGAGGAACCCCAGAGGCGAAGGCAGCCACCUGGUUCAGCACUGACGCUCAGACACGACAGCAUGGGGAGCGAACGGGAUUAGAAACCCCGGUAGUCCAUGCCGUAAACGAUGUUCACUAGGCGCUAGCGGUCUCAACCCCGUUGGUGCCGUAGAUAACUCGCUAAGUGAACCGCCUGGGGAGUACGGCCGCAAGGCUA
rnacentral:rRNA from 1 species